GGCAAGCUGGCAGCACCUUGGGGGAUCGGCUCCGUCCCCAGCCACCACCUGAAGAGCCGGGCUCGGCAAGAUCCCAUCGUGCUGUUUCGCUAAGAUGGAAGGGAACUAAUCUCAGUGCUGGCCGAAUGCCAGCUUGGGAUCAUCCGCUUCACCUCAAGUACCGCUCCGACCCGGCGGUGUUUGGUCAUGUCCCACAGCUGUGCCUGCACGCAGCUGCCACGCUCCACCUCAGCUGUGCUCGUGCUCCGGCAGCAAGCCGCUGGGUGCCCAGUGUUACUGAUUUCCAUGACAUGCUUAUCAAAUUUGUGAAUGGUUUGUAAAACCUGCUGCUACCAACUGAAGAAGAAGCGUCAUAUAAGUGGAAUUACAUAAUGCUCUUUCACGGCUAUUUUAAUGCAGCUUCAUGUACCUAAUUUCACAUAAAGUAGAAAUAGCUUCUACCAAAAAUACAUGCGUAUUUUUAACUUCAUGUAGUCAAGUAGAUUUUAGAGCAACUAUAUAAAGUAAUGAAAAUAGA